rnacentral:rRNA from 1 species
CCUUCGGGCAAGCGGCGGUACGGGUUAGUAACGCGUGGGUAACGUACCCUUCUCUAAGGAAUAGCCUUGGGAAACUGAGAGUAAUACCUUAUACGCCCUUUGGGGGAAAGAUUUAUCGGGGAAGGAUCGGCCCGCGUCUGAUUAGAUAGUUGGUGGGGUAAUGGCCUACCAAGUCUACGAUCAGUAGCUGGUUUGAGAGGAUGAUCAGCAACACUGGGACUGAGACACGGCCAGACUCCUACGGGAGGCACAGUGGGGA